rnacentral:rRNA from 1 species
AACGCGAAGAACCUUACCUACUCUUGACAUCCAGAGAACUUAGCAGAGAUGCUUUGGUGCCUUCGGGAACUCUGAGACGGGUGCUGCAUGGCUGUCGUCAGCUCGUGUUGUGAAAUGUUGGGUUAAGUCCCGCAACGAGCGCAACCCUUAUCCUUUGUUGCCAGCGGUUAGGCCGGGAACUCAAAGGAGACUGCCAGUGAUAAACUGGAGGAAGGUGGGGAUGACGUCAAGUCAUCAUGGCCCUUACGACCAGGGCUACACACGUGCUACAAUGGCAUAUACAAAGAGAAGCGACCUCGCGAGAGCAAGCGGACCUCAUAAAGUAUGUCGUAGUCCGGAUUGGAGUCUGCAACUCGACUCCAUGAAGUCGGAAUCGCUAGUAAUCGUAGAUCAGAAUGCUACGGUGAAUACGUUCCCGGGUCUUGUACACACCG